UGUCGUCAGCUCGUGUCGUGAGAUGUUGGGUUAAGUCCCGCAACGAGCGCAACCCUCGUUCUAUGUUGCCAGCACGUUAUGGUGGGGACUCAUAGGAGACUGCCGGGGUCAACUCGGAGGAAGGUGGGGAUGACGUCAAAUCAUCAUGCCCCUUAUGAUUUGGGCUACACACGUGCUACAAUGGACAAUACAAAGGGUAGCGAAACCGCGAGGUCAAGCAAAUCCCAUAAAGUUGUUCUCAGUUCGGAUUGUAGUCUGCAACUCGACUACAUGAAGCUGGAAUCGCUAGUAAUCGUAGAUCAGCAUGCUACGGUGAAUACGUUCCCGGGUCUUGUACACACCGCCCGUCACACCACGAGAGUUUGUAACACCCGAAGCCGGUGGAGUAACCUUUUGGAGCUAGCCGUCGAAGGUGGGACAAAUGAUUGGGGUGAAGUCGUAACAAGGUAG
rnacentral:rRNA from 1 species